rnacentral:rRNA from 2 species
GGGUCAAUGCAGAGUCUGACGGAGCACGCCGCGUGAGUGAUGAAGGUUUUCGGAUCGUAAAGCUCUGUUGUUAGGGAAGAACAAGUGCCGUUCAAAUAGGGCGGCACCUUGACGGUACCUAACCAGAAAGCCACGGCUAACUACGUGCCAGCAGCCGCGGUAAUACGUAGGUGGCAAGCGUUGUCCGGAAUUAUUGGGCGUAAAGGGCUCGCAGGCGGUUUCUUAAGUCUGAUGUGAAAGCCCCCGGCUCAACCGGGGAGGGUCAUUGGAAACUGGGGAACUUGAGUGCAGAAGAGGAGAGUGGAAUUCCACGUGUAGCGGUGAAAUGCGUAGAGAUGUGGAGGAACACCAGUGGCGAAGGCGACUCUCUGGUCUGUAACUGACGCUGAGGAGCGAAAGCGUGGGGAGCGAACAGGAUUAGAUACCCUGGUAGUCCACGCCGUAAACGAUGAGUGCUAAGUGUUAGGGGGUUUCCGCCCCUUAGUGCUGCAGCUAACGCAUUAAGCACUCCGCCUGGGGAGUACGGUCGCAAGACUGAAACUCAAAUGAUUUUGGACGGGG